UAAGCGGAGGAAAAGAAACUAACAAGGAUUCCCCUAGUAACGGCGAGUGAACCGGGAAGAGCUCAAAUUUGAAAUCUGGCGUCCUUCGGGCGUCCGAGUUGUAAUCUAUAGAGGCGUUUUCCGUGCCGGACCGUGUCUAAGUCCCUUGGAACAGGGUAUCAAAGAGGGUGACAAUCCCGUACUUGACACGACGACCGGUGCUCUGUGAUACGUCUUCUACGAGUCGAGUUGUUUGGGAAUGCAGCUCAAAAUGGGUGGUGAGUUCCAUCUAAAGCUAAAUAUUGGCGAGAGACCGAUAGCGAACAAGUACCGUGAGGGAAAGAUGAAAAGCACUUUGGAAAGAGAGUUAAACAGUACGUGAAAUUGUUGAAAGGGAAACGAUUGAAGUCAGUCGUGACUGUUGGGCUCAGCCGGUUCUGCCGGUGUAUUCCCUUCAGUCGGGUCAACAUCAGUUUUAAUCGGUGGAUAAGGGCAGCAGGAACGUAGCACCUUCGGGUGUGUUAUAGCCUGUCGUCGCAUACAUCGGUCGAGACUGAGGAACGCAGCUCGCCUUUAUGGCCGGGGUUCGCCCACGUCCGAGCUAGGAUGU
rnacentral:rRNA from 1 species